UUUAAAGAGGGGACCAUAUGUCAUUGCAUAUUAGAGACCUUCCUUUUUGUCUUUGGUUUACUUCUGUCAACUUGUAAUCCCUGUGAAGCAUCUAUGCAUAGACGAAAAUUAGAACAAUAUAUAUGGGGUGGUUGCAAACCAUAGUGUUUGCCUAUUGGGGGUUUGACUCCUUUUUCAUGCCAACUAAUGGCCAAACAAGGAAUUACUUUCUCUUUGGAGG
rnacentral:misc_RNA from 1 species